UACGUAGGGUGCGAGCGUUGUCCGGAAUUAUUGGGCGUAAAGGGCUCGUAGGCGGUUUGUCGCGUCGGGAGUGAAAACUCGAGGCUCAACCUCGGGCUUGCAGUGGGUACGGGCAGACUAGAGUGCGGUAGGGGUGACUGGAAUUCCUGGUGUAGCGGUGGAAUGCGCAGAUAUCAGGAGGAACACCGAUGGCGAAGGCAGGUCACUGGGCCGCAACUGACGCUGAGGAGCGAAAGCAUGGGGAGCGAACAGG
rnacentral:rRNA from 1 species